AUUGAACGCUAGCGGGAUGCCUUACACAUGCAAGUCGAACGGAGUGGCGAACGGGCGAGUAAUGUAUCGGAACGUGCCCAGUAGCGGGGGAUAACUACGCGAAAGCGUAGCUAAUUCCUACUAUUAUUUAGCCGGCCGAUAUGGGAUUAGCUAGCUGGUGGGGUAACGGCUCAACAAGGCGACGAUCCGUAGCUGGUUUGAGAGGACGACCAGCCACACUGGGACUGAGACACGGCCCAGACUCCUACGGGAGGCAGCAGUGGGGAAUAUUGGACAAUGGGGGAAACCCUGAUCCAGCCAUCCCGCGUGUGCGAUGAAGGCCUUCGGGUUGUAAAGCACUUUUGGCAGGGAAGCGGUACCUGCAGAAUAAGCACCGGCUAACUACGUGCCAGCAGCCGCGGUAAUUC
rnacentral:rRNA from 1 species